AUCGGUGACAGGUGGUGCGAUGGUUGUCGUCAGCUCGUGUCGUGAGAUGUUGGGUUAAGUCCGCAACGAGCGCAACCCCUAUUGUUAGUUUGCCAUCAUUCAGUUGGGCACUCUAGCGAGACUGCCGGUAAUAAACCGGAGGAAGGUGGGGAUGACGUCAAAUCAUCAUGCCCCUUAUGACCUGGGCUACACACGUGCUACAAUGGUUGGUACAACGAGUUGCGAGUCGGUGACGGCGAGCUAAUCUCUUAAAGCCAAUCUCAGUUCGGAUUGUAGGCUGCAACUCGCCUACAUGAAGUCGGAAUCGCUAGUAAUCGCGGAUCAGCACGCCGCGGUGAAUACGUUCCCGGGCCUU
rnacentral:rRNA from 1 species